rnacentral:rRNA from 1 species
UACGGAGGGAGCUAGCGUUGUUCGGAAUUACUGGGCGUAAAGCGCACGUAGGCGGCUUUGUAAGUUAGAGGUGAAAGCCUGGGGCUCAACCCCAGAAUUGCCUUUAAGACUGCAUCGCUUGAAUCCAGGAGAGGUGAGUGGAAUUCCGAGUGUAGAGGUGAAAUUCGUAGAUAUUCGGAAGAACACCAGUGGCGAAGGCGGCUCACUGGACUGGUAUUG